rnacentral:rRNA from 1 species
GAUGAACGCUGGCGGCGUGCCUAAUACAUGCAAGUCGAGCGAACAGACGAGGAGCUUGCUCCUCUGACGUUAGCGGCGGACGGGUGAGUAACACGUGGAUAACCUACCUAUAAGACUGGGAUAACUUCGGGAAACCGGAUCUAAUACCGGAUAAUAUAUUGAACCGCAUGGUUCAAUAGUGAAAGACGGUUUUGCUGUCACUUAUAGAUGGUUCCGCGCCGCAUUAGCUAGUUGGUAAGGUAACGGCUUACCAAGGCAACGAUGCGUAGCCGACCUGAGGGGGUGAUCGGCCACACUGGAACUGAGACACGGUCCAGACUCCUACGGGAGGCAGCAGUAGGGAAUCUUCCGCAAUGGGCGAAAGCCUGACGGAGCAACGCCGCGUGAGUGAUGAAGGUCUUCGGAUCGUAAAACUCUGUUAUUAGGGAAGAACAAAUGUGUAAGUAAAUAUGCACGUCUUGACGGUACCUAAUCAGAAAGCCACGGCUAACUACGUG